AUUGAACGCUGGCGGCAGGCUUAACACAUGCAAGUCGAGCGGAGUGAUGGUGCUUGCACUAUUACUUAGCGGCGGACGGGUGAGUAAUGCUUAGGAAUCUGCCAUUUAGUGGGGGACAACAUUCCGAAAGGAAUGCUAAUACCGCAUACGUCCUACGGGAGAAAGCAGGGGAUCUUCGGACCUUGCGCUAAAUGAUGAGCCUAAGUCGGAUUAGCUAGUUGGUGGGGUAAAGGCCUACCAAGGCGACGAUCUGUAGCGGGUCUGAGAGGAUGAUCCGCCACACUGGGACUGAGACACGGCCCAGAUUCCUACGGGAGGCAGCAGUGGGGAAUAUUGGACAAUGGGCGGAAGCCUGAUCCAGCCAUGCCGCGUGUGUGAAGAAGGCCUUUUGGUUGUAAAGCACUUUAAGCGAGGAGGAGGCUCUCCUAGUUAAUACCUAGGAAGAGUGGACGUUACUCGCAGAAUAAGCACCGGCUAACUCUGUGCCAGCCGCCGCGGUAAGAC
rnacentral:rRNA from 1 species